rnacentral:rRNA from 1 species
CAGCAGCCGCGGUAAUACGUAGGUGGCAAGCGUUGUCCGGAAUUAUUGGGCGUAAAGGGCUCGCAGGCGGUUUCUUAAGUCUGAUGUGAAAGCCCCCGGCUCAACCGGGGAGGGUCAUUGGAAACUGGGAAACUUGAGUGCAGAAGAGGAGGGUGGAAUUCCACGUGUAGCGGUGAAAUGCGUAGAGAUGUGGAGGAACACCAGUGGCGAAGGCGACUCUCUGGUCUGUAACUGACGCUGAGGAGCGAAAGCGUGGGGAGCGAACAGGAUUAGAUACCCCGGUAGUCCCUGUCUCUUAUAC